GAUGAACGCUAGCGGCAGGCUUAAUACAUGCAAGUCGAGGGGUAGCGCGGGUAGCAAUACCUGGCGGCGACCGGCAAACGGGUGCGGAACACGUACGCAACCUUCCCAAAACUGGUGAAUAGCCCUCCGAAAGGAGGAUUAAUACACCGUACCAUAAUGAAGAGGCAUCUCUUUGUUAUUAUAGCCGCAAGGCGGUUUUGGAUGGGCGUGCGCCUGAUUAGGUAGUUGGCGGGGUAACGGCCCACCAAGCCUGCGAUCAGUAACUGGUGUGAGAGCACGACCAGUCACACGGGCACUGAGACACGGGCCCGACUCCUACGGGAGGCAGCAGUAAGGAAUAUUGGUCAAUGGACGCAAGUCUGAACCAGCCAUGCCGCGUGAAGGAUGACGGCCCUCUGGGUUGUAAACUUCUUUUAUCUGGGACGAAAAAAGGGCUUUCUAGCUCACUUGACGGUACCAGAGGAAUAAGCACCGGCUAACUCCGUG
rnacentral:rRNA from 1 species